rnacentral:rRNA from 1 species
CGGGGUGAGUAACGCGUGGGUAACCUGCCUCAUACAGGGGGAUAACAGUUAGAAAUGACUGCUAAUACCGCAUAAGCGCACAAAACCGCAUGGUUUGGUGUGAAAAACUGAGGUGGUAUGAGAUGGACCCGCGUCUGAUUAGCUAGUUGGAGAGGUAACGGCUCACCAAGGCAACGAUCAGUAGCCGACCUGAGAGGGUGACCAGCCACAUUGGGACUGAGACACGGCCCAAACUCCUACGGGAGGCAGCAG